rnacentral:misc_RNA from 1 species
GGGGACUCUACAACCCCCCUAAUUACGAGGAACCAGCGCGAUUUAACCACUUCCCCCCGAUUAAAUACAACGGCUAUUGAAAUAACGCUGGAUUUCAAAUAUGGAUUGAUAUUAAAAAGUUAACAUUUAUUUUUUUCCACUCUGAAAAGUGUACAUCGGUAAUUUUGGGUUUUUUGUUUAGUGGUUUUGGUAAUGGCGUCUUGUUUUGUACAAGUAAUUAAUAGAGACCGUAGCACUUGGCCGUCUUCAGAUGAUAAUGCAUAAAUGUGUGGGCACGUUCUACCCAAUGAAACGGUGUUAAAAUCUCUUGUUAAAUUUUAUUGAGUUGCCUUUCCAGCACUGCAGUAGUGCUUAACAAGGGAAUGUUUCUCUUUGUUGCAUUUUUAGUUGUUUUUGUUGAUUUUUUGUAAGUUGAAGUUUGACGAUAUUUUCAUAGUCACGUAUACAAUAUCUAUAGGUAAUUUAUUUAUAUUAUGUUAACCAACGCUGUAUCUAUCAAUCUGUUUGGUGUACGUUCUAUGAUGUCUACUUGUAUUUCUACCUGUUGGCUUUCUUCAUUGUGCUAUAAUUAUCCGCCUUGUUAGAAGUUCCUGGCAGGCUGAUGGCGAGACACGGUGCUCUCAACCCUUCUGGUAAUCCCAACAAAGCACACGCUUAUAACAAUUGUUAAUAAUUUAUUAUAUAGAUGAUAAAUAAAUAAAUAGAUAUACAUAUAC